UACGAAGGGGGCUAGCGUUGCUCGGAAUCACUGGGCGUAAAGGGUGCGUAGGCGGCUUCUUAAGUCAGGGGUGAAAUCCUGGAGCUCAACUCCAGAACUGCCUUUGAUACUGAGAAGCUUGAGUCCGGGAGAGGUGAGUGGAACUGCGAGUGUAGCGGUGAAAUGCGCAGAUAUCGGGAAGAACACCCGUGGCGAAGGCGGCUCUCUGGGACGGUACUGACGCUGAGACGCGAAAGCGUGGGGAGCGAACAGG
rnacentral:rRNA from 1 species